UGGGCAACAAGAGGGGGCAUGCAGCCAUCUGAACCAACCACUACCCAGGGAAGUCUGCCCCACCAGGAAAUCAGAACUCCCCAACUGGCCCCCUUGGCUAUGCGUCACGGGUUCUCUACGAACCUCUGUUUCUUUGUCUGCUGAGUGGACUCAGUAAUCCCUACACCAGGCCUGCCCUGAGGUGUAAGAUGUGUGCCCUGAGCUCUGGGCACAGGCCAGCAGGAAGCACCAGCAGGCCUCUCCCCUGGGAUUCUCUCCGAUGACACUCUUCCUGAACAGACAGGGAAACUGAGGCCUGCCAGCAGUCACAGAGCCAGCCAGAGGAGAGCUCAAGUGGCCUUCGGACCACCAUGCAACACCACCCCCCCCACUCCCCACCCCAUCUGCCAGGGAAGGACUUGGCUCUGCAGAGAUCACCAUCACUAAACUCCCUGGACUUGACUAAAGGCUUUAGAACCGUGACCCUAUCAGGUUCUGGACUCCAAACGCGGCUGCUUCCUGGCCCUGAGGCAACACCACCAGCUGAUGCGCCAGCCACUGUGAAUGCUUUCUGGGGCUGGCCACAGGACACACAAAAGGAGCUGAGCGCUCGGUCACUGACGCCCUGACGGUGGCCCUCCUGGGAGCACGGGUGAAGGUGGCACGAGGGCGUUCCCACACACCAAUCUGGCCUCCUCACCCACGUCAGGAGACCCUACGCAAAGCCACACGUGCACUUCCCACCCUGUUUCUAAGUAUCCUCUCCCACAUCUGAGACGGGCACCUGCCAGUCGUCCGGGUGGCUCUCGGCACAUCUCCAUCUGCGGCCCUCUCACCCACGCACCCGGGGGGCACCCGAGGCCAUGGCCCCGGCCUGCCGAGCCUGGAGUGCCUUCUGAGCCAUCCCGGCCACCCUUGACUAUGCACCGCCUUCGCGCUAAGGGCAGAAACCGGAUCCUGAGGCCGUGAGGGUGACGGGCGCGAUCCGGCACACGGGGCUCCAGGAGCCACCCCGCCUCACCGAGGAG